AGAUGUAAGAGCAUUCUGGCUAGGUCAUUUGUCAUCCCAUUGGUCACCAGGGUUGAUUCAGCUAAGGUGAGGAGGGAGGCGGAUGUCCCCUUCCUCCCUCACCGUUCCAUAUGCGUCCCUCCUGAAGCUGCAUGCUUGGUCUGUGAGCACGAUCGCCAAGGAGAACUGUUUCCUCAGUUGAAGGAAUAUAAGUAGCUGCACUCCCCUGCUAGAACCUCCAAACAAGCUUUCAAGAAAGGUACCCUGGCAUUUCCCAGGUGUAGUGAUUCAUGCCUGCAAUCCCAGCACUUCAGAGACUGUGGCAGGAGGAUUGUUUUG
rfam:Fukomys damarensis contig129863, whole genome shotgun sequence.